GCCUACGGGGGGCAGCAGUGAGGAAUAUUGGUCAAUGGGCGGGAGCCUGAACCAGCCAAGUCGCGUGAGGGAAGACGGUCCUAUGGAUUGUAAACCUCUUUAGGCGGGGAGCAAUGCCGGGCACGCGUGCCCGGAGGGAGAGUACCCGCAGAAUAAGCAUCGGCUAACUCCGUGCCAGCAGCCGCGGUAAUACGGAGGAUGCGAGCGUUAUCCGGAUUUAUUGGGUUUAAAGGGUGCGUAGGCGGAUUUUUAAGUCAGCGGUAAAAUGUCCGGGCUCAACCCGGACCGGCCGUUGAAACUGCCGU
rnacentral:rRNA from 1 species